AGGGGAAGAUGGCGGCGUGAGAGGAGGCGGAGGGGGGAGCCGGGCCGGCUACGGCCCCGGCCGGGGCAGAGAAGGCAGGAAAGUGUGCACGGAUGGACUCGCCAAAGUAGAGGGAUCAUAAGUGUCUGGGACAGCAAUGGCUGGUGCAGCUUUCGCAGCAUCUGAUGAAAUUCAUGUGCAUUCCAUGUAUGUGCCAAUCAGCAAACUGAAGAGAACAGCUGUUGGAGAAAAAUGAUAGUGUGCAAGGCUGUGAAAGUAUGGGUGCCCUCCCAACAGAUUCCUUAAGGACCUACUCCACGAUCUUUCCAGACCUAUUCCUGACAUUCUGGAGGGAGACUGUUCUGUUGCUAUUUCCUGUUAACUGCUCUUAGGUUUUGAAGUGUGGAUGCUCUUCUUCUCACAAAGAAAAUUCUUUUCCUUAUCUUCGUGGAGCUGAAUGAGGGAAGACUUCUUCAUUUCCUGUUUCAACUCUUUAUCCCAACAUUUAAUUCAUGGAUCCCUGUACCAGCUGGCUUCCCCACUGAUGGCACCCAGCCAGCAUCUUGCUGCACCUCAAGCGCAGGGCAAUUGAAAUUAGCAUUUGUUUCCAUGAGAGUUGUCUUCUGUGCCAGCUUUUCACUUUGUUUUGCAUUAUUUUUCACAGCUGAGAAAUGAUUUUUGUAAGUAAAUGCACACGGAAGCCAGUCUUCUUGACUGGUAUCUCUUUUUGUCUUAGGAAGGUAACUUUUCCCACUGCGCCCUACUGGGGAUCCUAAAAAUGGAUUAAGUGUCUGCACAUGUUGCUUUCCCAGCCUGUUUCAACAUGUAUGAAAAGUUGCAGCAGGAAAACCAGGAUACACUUUCCAUCCUGAAGCAUGGAAAAAAAAAUCCUGGAAAUUCCAUAAUGGGAAUUUUUUAACCGAGAACAAAGGCCUGACUUUGUAGAUAGGCAUCUUGAUGUAACCUCAUGUAAAGCAGCUAAUGCACAGGAACAAAUACAAAGUCACCUUGUCCAUCAUUUAUUUCUGAGAGCAGAAAUAUAGCUGCAUGUGUGAAUCCAUGUAAGUGCUGGAUAUGAAGAGCUUUCACUGGGAUAAGAAAGUGAAUAGCUACUUCUCAUUUCUAGCAAGCCCCUUCCCAAGGAAGGUGAAGUUUCAAUGACCUGUAGUACUAAAGAAGAUCCUGUAGAGAUGGGAUCUACAUCAUUUUCCCAGUUUUCUCCAGAAGCUUUAGUGGAAAAGGAACAAAAACAAGAGUUGGACAGAACUGAUCUUUUUAUUAAAGGAACUGACCUCUGGUGGGAUGAGAGGCCAGAAGUGUAAAGCCCCAACUCAUUAGCUUCUUGGUGCCAUUUCAGUUCUUCAUACUGCUGAUGGAGUUGGGUAUUAACUCUUCUGUGGCUAUUGGAGAACUGGGACUGCCACAUUCAUGGGUGGAGGUUGAAAGCAGUCUGAUGGGAAGAACUUGCAGCCACUUGGAGGAACAAGUAAGAGAGAACAAAAAUGCUGAGGAAUGGCUUUUUAGGCUCCUCCUAUCUUUCCCAAACCAGGAGAAGAUCAUAGUUCUUACAUGUUUACAAAAAGUUAUUUGUUUCCAUCACUUGUGAUUAUACAGGAUGUUUUCCUUUCUCUUGAGAUAGGAGUAUAUAUCAUUUAGUUGCUUCUAGUUUCUCUCUGUAGUCAGUGAGGUUUCUUGGUGGAAAGGCCAGAAUUUGGUUCUCUUGUUUUCUUCCAUUUGUAUCUGGAGCUCUUGUUAGUGCACCUUAUUCCAAGCUUAUAUUAAUGUGAAUUUAGCAAAUAUGACUUUAAAAAAAUUAUAUUUUAAAAAUCUGGAACAAAAUGGAUUUAGGUUUUGUUUAUGUUUGGUUUUUUUUGUUCUUUGUUUAGAAAACUGCUGGAUAGAGCCAGAAAGCCUGAAAAUGGCUGGAAAAAAACAACAGCUGAAAUCCUUAUGUUUUGAUGAUAGGUAGCAAAAGUAGCAUUUUUAUAGCUGGUACAGGAAGGAGAGGGAGGAAAGGAGAAUAUCAUAAGAUGUUGUUUCUGAUAUUUAAAUGAGUAAUGGAAUUUAAAGGGAAACAAUUUCCAGAGCAGAACAAACCCUUGUAUGUGUACUGCUCCUAAUCUUCUCUCUUGGGAAUUGAGUUGUGUAGGAAACUUGCAUUGUGACAAUAAGGUUUAAUUACAGGUUUAAUAAUUUUUGUGUUUGCCUAGAGAGAAGAUCAGGUUUACAGGGUAAGGAAUGUCUAGCAGAAUACUCCAUAUUGAAAAUAAUACCAAAUGUAAUGUAGCAGACCAUGAGCACCAAUGUACCAUGAGCUGUGUUUAUCUUCACUUGGAGAAAUUGUCAUAUUAGUCAAGGCUAGUGAAUUAGCCAGCUUGAGCUGGCUUCCUUUAAGGAUGCUGUAGUGGAAUGGAAUAUGGAUGUUCUAGGGUUAAAGACAACUGGAAAAAAAACCCACUUCUUUGGACUGCCUUCUGUGAAAGACAACUGGAUUUUGCAUUGACUUCAGUAGAGGCAGGAUCAGCCUCUUAGUGAGGGGGAAGUACCUGCUAUCGAUAUUACAGUGUUUCAUGCGAUUAGAAGGUAUAUGAUAUGGCAAAUGUAUGUUUAAGUGUGUGGAUUUUCUUCUCUUCCCUAACCGCAUUCAUUAUCCAUCAGACGUAAUAUCUAGAAGCUGUUCCUAGCACUGCGUGACAGCAUAUCGCUUUGGGGAUGGGAGUGUGUCUUUGUAUCCCGUUUAUUGUUAAAAAUGGAAUGUGGCUGUGAAGAAGGUGGACAUAUUUAAAGCUCAUUGGUGCCACACUUUGUAGGAGUAACCUUGGCUAAGCAUUGUAUAGUUCUAGAUUAUACUGAAAAAUUGAAAUGUUGACUUUGCCUCCCCCCCCCCCCCAACCCAUUUGAUUAAGGUAAAUUAUUAAUUGAGCUAAAGUUCUGUGGCUGUCACAGAAGGAACACUCUGGUAGCGUACACUCAAGAGACCCCACUGUAGUACUCUUCCUGCCAGUUUCUUCAUAAAACUGUUGUGAUAGGAAAUGCCGCCUCAGCCUUUUGGCUUUACAUCAUGCUCUGCUUUUUUUUCUCCAUGUUGGUUGGAAAUUGUCUUGUAUGAAAGAUUAAAAAAUAAGGGGCAUGUGCAAUAGAUCAUAUAUCUACACACACACACACACACACACACACGUGCACACACACACAUAUACACACACACAUAUAUAUAUUUUAAUACUUGUGGACAAAAUGAUGUUACAAGUUGUUUGAAAACAACAAAAUCACCAAUGUCUUCCAUUUUGAGAUGUGUAUAGUUCCAUAAGCAUUAGUGCUUUGUAGCAAACUGUAGUGCCAUGUUAGGAUCAGUGCAUGAGCCUAGUAGUAUUUUUACAAUUUCAGAGAGACAAAUUAUUCAUGACAAUAAUAAACAAUAAUGUAAUUAAUAGAAAGGAUACAGUAAAAAUGUCAUGAACAUAAGCUAAAGAUGCAGUAUCCUUCCUUGCCAGUGAUAGUGACAAUUCUAUCUUUGGAAGCAGAUUUUUUUUUUUAUUUGGUGGGUGUCAUGGAAAAUAUGGUUGACUUCUUGUUGCAAGUCUGUCCAAGCUAUACAGUAGACCAGUGAUUCUUGACAGGGGUGCCUUGGCACCCUGAGGUGCUGUGAGCCACUGGGUAACUCCUCUCCCACCCCGCCCACUCCCCUCAGGAGGAGCUAAGGAUGGGCUCCAGUGUAAGGAGGUAAGAUCAUGAAUGUCCCACUGCUCUACAGGGAGCCAAAAGCUCAUUUCCUCUACACAUCCUCUCUCCAUUUAAAUGUUGCAAUAAAUAAAUUAUUGACUUGGGGUACCACUCUAUUCCAAGAAGUUAUGGAGGGAUGCUAAGUUGAGAAUCACUUCAUUGCUGGCAUCCAAACUAGUCAUCUGUCAGGUUAUUGGAGGUGAACUACAUGGCAAAUCCAUGAUGCUUGCUGUAUUGAAUGGCAUGCUAUUUUGUAAUUUUAGAGGGAACUCUUUUAAUCCUGGUCAGCCAUGAACUUCCUCUUCAUGCACCAUACCCAUUGCAUCUGCCAUGCCAAAAAUGUGUACAUCCUAAAGAGACGGCAUAUUUUAUUAGCAGCUCUGUUACCCCUUCUUGGGUAUCGUAAUCUGCUCUAAUUAUUCAUCUGGGUAGUGCAUUUUGCAGAACGAAUAAAAAGUGACAAAGCUAAUGUUUAGUUAAUUAUCAAUAUAGUUAAAUUGUUUUGUGAUACUGUCCGCCCAUUUUGUCUGAGGAUGUUUGUAUGUAUUGCUGAAAAGCCUAGACUGUGGAUUUUUAUAAUUUUUCCAGCUAUGAACUCUUGAUCACACAGUAGUUUGUUUCUUUCUCUCUGUGUACAGUCAGAGAAUGAGAUGUUAAGUUAGGUGAAGUCUAAAUAGUUUAUCAAACAGGUAGCUUAAACCAGUAAAGCAAGAGACAGUGAUUUGUACAUGAUUUUUAUCUGAUUUCCUGAUAUAGCAUUUUAGUUGGUGUCAAUAUUGCUUUUCAACCACCACUGUUUUGAAAAAGAACAAAACUUGGUAUCAGCUUAGAGAGGGAGGAUACUGCAUCUUUUUUCUCGAGUCCUGCAAGUAAAUGGCCACGUUGAGGAGAGAGGAUGGGCAUCUUGUGUUUCUGAGUUGAUCUAAUGUGUGUCUAAAUUAAUUAAAUGGGAAGCAUGCAUGGAGAUGCAAAGCGGGUGAUCCUUGCAGAGGUAAUUUCUGUAACAAAAACUAAAUUCUGCAUAUUCCAUGUCUCCAGAUAAAAUUGGCAAGCAGGCCAUUUACAGCACAGCUCUGGGGAUAUCUGAACAAAAGUAGCUGUACCAUUUAAUCAAGUAGUUUAGUGCUUGGGAGAAUCAAUUGAUGAAAAAUACCUCUGAAACUGGAAUGCAAAUAGCACAGUAUGUGGGAGGUAGGGGGGAAUCCCUAAUGCAAACAAAGCCAUAAAAUAAUUUAAUAAGAAAAUAGAACUUUAGUAGCAAUAAUUGUUUUGCAUGUAAUAGUUACUAACUUGCAUUAGCAAGACUGUACAGUAGAGUAAGUAAGUGGGUAUAACCAAAUAAGUUUGUGGCGUUCUGUGCUGCAGGGGGUUGCACGAAAAGAAAUGUUUCUUCUUAACUAGAUGGGAGAAUUCCUCUUACUGCUCCUAUCAUUGGAAAGUGUUUGGUACUUGCCCGCUUUGGUGAGGAGCCUGAUAUAAAAACCUGGAUAACUGUGUAUCCUGUCUGAACUGGUGCAUACUGGGGAAGAGCAAGCAGUUGUGUGUAAACAAAUGGCUGAUUUUUCCCCAGUUUGCUUAUUUUGUUGGGUAGCAUGUGUUGUGCCUCUGGAGAGGAAACCAAACCCAUUCAGGUGCUGAUGUGAAAAGAACUAGGUUCCAUAGUCAGAAAUCAUGACUUAGAAGCUUUUUUUUUUAAUAGAAAAGGGUUCUGAUAUUUUUGUGGGGAGGUGGGUUGGGAGGUGUGGAGAGAUACCAGGUAGUGAUAUCACAGGUCCCAAAACGAGAAAUUAUUGGGAAACACUUACACUCCAAACCCUUAGACUGCAGGGACAAAACUACAGGAUUUGUCUCUACAAAUUCCUUGUCUUUCUUUUUUCAUUGACCUUUAGCUCUAGACCUGCUAAACACUUCCAUUUUAGGCUGUGGCCAUUUUCUGUUCAUACUUUAAAUUUUGCAAAGCCAGUUGUUUUAGGCAUUCUGAUAAGGCAAAGGGGAAUCGAUAUGUAGUAAAUUGUGCUUGGCAUGGUUUUUACCAUCUGCUAAAGAAGCAUUCAGAAGAGCCCAUGGAGUUUUAAAAUACAGCCCACAGCUGACCUAAUUUUCUUUAUCAAUGCAUAGCUUGCAGAAGUGAUACAGCUCUGCAGGUAAUGCUCUAUCCUGAACUGAAUUAUUAAACCAAAGUGUAUAGUUAUCCAAGUGGCUUGAUUUCUUCAAUCAGGAUUGAAUAUUUUAUACCACAAUCUUUAAUCUAGGGGUGUCUGCAAUUUGCUUCGUUUUUAGUAAGUUAAAUGGAGGCUUUUGACUUCUCACUAGUUGAUAACAUGACCCCUGUUGGGACUAAGUGUGGGUCUCUCCAGUCUCAUUUAAUGUAACCAAGAUGCAUCCAAGAUGAAUGUAAGAAUGUAUAAGUAGGUGCUAGCAAGUAGUACAUAUCUAGUAUUAGUCUUGCAUAUGAAAAUAUCAGUGAUUUUGAAACAUGGUAACAAUUCCAGCCAUUAAAUUAUUGUCAAAAUUAGCAGACCAAAAGGAGAUACCAACUUGAUCAUGUUCUCUACAUAGUAUAGUGUUAUACCAGUCUUUAUAAAUUUAAGGAAAGGAUUGGGAAGUAGACUGUCAUAAUAAUGAAGACACUAAUUUCACUUCUUAGAAAUGUACUUCACUUGACUGGGUAUUAUUAUUCUGCCAUUUCAAUGAAAAGGGUAGGCAGGGGGGUGAGUGAACGAACAUCUGCUUAUUGCUGCCAGUUCAGCCUUUCUGAUGUGCUGUGUUCCAGGGACUAGUAGAGUACAGGUCCAAAGAUUUCUCACAGCAUCCAUUCCUGAAAUCCUGCAGGGCUAAGGCUGCAGAGCUGUGAUAUGAUUUCCCUCCCCCCCCCGCUUUCAUUGCUUACAAAACUAAGCAGAUAUUUCAGACAAUACCCAGUUUAUUUCAAGAUAUCAAACAAGUAACAUCCAUGCUAAUACCAACCUUUUUAGCGGGAUCAAGUCUAUUUUGUAAGUGUGUAGACUGCUUUCUAGUCCAGUAGGGCUGAUGAAGAAGUUCUAGCUAGUACUGUGCUGUGAACUGCAACUAUUGUUGGAGAUGCUUAUCAGUUAAGAACCUUCUCAGCACUAAGGAAUCUUUGCAAUACAAUUUUCUUGAGCAGAGAGCAGUGACACAAGGUUCAGGAGAUAGAUGCUUUAAAUAGGAUUUACCUUGAUUGCAGCAUUGGUAGGGUAUUUUGUGGGAUCUUUUGGAGGUAUUUCUGAGUUGUUAAGGGAAAGCUGGACUUCUGACAGAAUCUGGCACCAUUCUUAAAACCUUUACUUUCAGUAACUUCUGUCAACCAGAGAUGGAGACUGGUUGAGUUUUUCUUCAAAGCCUGCUGAUAGAGCUCUUUACUUAAACAGAAGGCUAUAUGAUGGGCAGUUCAAAGUUAACUCUUUGUUCUGAUGGUUCAGGAUACCACUUCCAUAGUACUCCCGAGACUAAAGCACAGAGCCAGCAAUGGAACUUGGUUAUCUUGUUCUAUGCUGCUACUAUCCAUAGACUUCCCUGACAUACACACAGUUUCCUUCACUUCUCUUUGCAUUUCCUCCUGAUUCAUGUCUUUAGAAAAAAAUGUAUGUAAGCAAAGGAAACAUGUCACUUCUCUUACAUACCAAGUCACAGUACAGUUGGAUUUUCUGAGGCUUGCCCAUUAUCUUUGGUAAUCACGUUUUAACUUUCUCUUACUUGUGUCCUAUGUAAAUUCUGCUCUCUCCCCAAACUAAGUAUGUGUUUGCAGGUCAACUAAAAGAAGGCUGGUUUGUGAAGCCAGAUGCAUAGUGAACUGCAUGGACAAGCUGAAGAGUGGCAGCACAGGCCCACAAACCAAGUCUUAGAGCUAGUAUUCUACUUAUGCAUGAUUCAAAAUGUUUAGUGUUAUGUAGUUAUUACCAGUAAAUUGAGAUAUGCAUUUAUACAUAAUGAAGCAAUAGGAACUAAUAUACCAAUAGCUUGAACUUACUGCUUUGAUUCUCAAAUUUUGUUUUUAGAGAAUGCACUGCCUCUGUAGAGAAAGAGGCAGAAUGUACAAAUAGGGACAGAAGCAUGGCACCAAAACUGCAUAUCAGGAACAAGGAUCAGCAGAACUCACCUUUUUAACCUCUUGCCUGGUUCACACUAGUGCCCUGAGCAUGUAAAAAAGCAGGGCCUGAACCGAGCGUGUUUAGUGGCAAGGUGAGGUUUCUCAGCUGCUGCAAUUGUAGCAAACAGAAGGGUGCAGAGUUUCUCACAGAGUGUUGGGAGGGCAAAAGUAGAAUUAAGUUGGUCAACUUAAAGAACUGACCUCAAAGUUAAGCAACUGUAGAAUUUGCCAGACAAUAGGUGCAAGAGGUCUCGGCCUGAUAUGGUAAAUUCUUUGGAGGUGAUUAAAAUCAAUAAGCACAGUGCACAUAUUUCAGGUGUUGAAUAGCUUUUUAAUAGACAGUAUUUUCAGGUAACUCUUUAGCCACAUAGGCAGCUGUACUGAAGCAUACUGGUAUCAACCAGCAAUAAUGGCAUCCUGCAGGAAUGAACCUGAAAAUAUUGGCAAAUUUGUGUAUUUUAAGUUUUGACCAAGAUUUUUUUUACGGUUCUAAAAUGAGGUUGGCUCAAGGUGGGGUGAUGAGUGUCCUAAUCUUCAACAACAGAUUAUAGUCUGGUCAGUCAUAAUGUCAUUCGUUAAAAAAAAAAAUGUAGUGAUCUCUAGCUUCCUAACAUAAGGGAAAUUGGGUGCCAUCUGUUUGUUCACUAUGUUCUCUGCAAAGAGUAUUUCUCCCAAGUCACUUUGUGGGUGGUGUGGAGAUUUUCUGUUGAGAAUGAAAAAAAAGUCCAUGGUAGCUGUAGCAGAAUCCAGAACUAAUAAUGUUCCUAAGCUUUUUAGUUCAUUUUGCAGUAUUUCUCACUUUUAGUUUAUAGCUCCAUCUAACCUUGUGGGAGGAUUUAACUUGUGCAAGAAUCCCUCCAUGGAACUGAGGUUUCCUCCUCUUUCCUCACAAAAACUGGGGCAGGAGGAAUGGAUUCCAGGUCAGAUUUAUGUUUGCCUGCACCCUUAGCUGGCAUAAUGCAAGUCUCCACAACACCCCUUUAAUGCAGGGUUGAUGAGGGAACCUUCUUUUUCUCAUUGUCACUUUGUUUAUAGACGCACAGUAGUUGCCAAAUGAAGGUAGGAAUAUUAAGGGAUGACUUGGAUAUUUUACAGUAUCUGAAGAUGGAUGAAGUAUAUCCUUUGAGCCAACUUCUUUAGGCAAAAAGUGAUUAUUAAAACAUGUUAAGCCAGUGGUUGACUGUGCCACUAUAACCUUUAGGACUUUUCAGUUUUAAAUUCUGUUUUAGUAUAUUGUUUUAAUGGAAAGGUAAGAAGUUGAGUAUGUACUUAAACUUGCUUAUUUCCUUUCUAAACAAAAGGGAGGAAUAGGCUACUCAAGGACUUCAAUGCAAAUAUAUUUUGUGAGGAGCAGAAAUUUUGAAGUUUGGCCUUCAGCUCUAAUGUCAAUGGGAUAACAUAGAAUCCUUGAAAGAAAAUUUAAAUUUAUCCUAAGGCUUAGAAACCAGGUUAGAGAGGAUUUCCUGUACUGAACUUCUGAUGGUAUACUCACAUUUCUACUGUACUCAACUGCCAAGUGCAGGAAAUAUCAGUGGAGGAAUUUAGUGGUAACACUGGAAACCAUUUACUCCCAUUGCAUGGUGUAUUUUACAUGGUAAGAGUAAAACAAUUUCUCCCUCUGUGUACUGAAGUUUUCCAAAAGGCAGCUUGUUUUUUAUAUCUAUGCAUCUUUGGGAUUUCAAGAAGAAUCUAUUCUUUUUGACAUUGUAUAGAGGAACUGUUUCAAAUGAACUUGGAAACUCUGCACCUGUAAACAAAUUUUUUUAGCAAUAAAGCAGCACGGGCUGAGAAUGCACUAAAA